UCGAUGCAAGUGCGCAGCAAUAUUCCGGGCGUGAGCAGCGUGUGCUUUAUUUGUGUCUUUUCGACUUUUGUGCGGUUGACCAUGGCCCAAGUACGUGUAUACUAGGCAGAACUGUACAGUUGCGUGCUGAAAUUUCGAGCUGUGCUUCUGACUGCUAUUUGUGCUAGAAAGUACUGGCUUUCUAUCUUGAAUCCGGUGGCCCCAGAAGCAAGUGCUGGCAAGCAGGCCAUGCGCUUUUGGUCAUUAAUUAGUAUGUUAUACUACCUCUUACUAAUCAGUUUUAUUCUUUUUAAUUAUAAUUGUGUCACUGUGCCUACUAGUCAUUUUGUGCCUACUCGUUACUUGUGUUUUAAUGAAGUUUAAUUUUCAAGAAUCUGUUUUUGAUUACGUUUUUUUUUAGAUCCGCGUUUAACCUGUUUGUAUACAGCGGGAACAUGUAAUGAAUAAUUUCAUACAUGUGCGUGGCUGGGGGCCGAUCAUUUUUGUAAUAAAGCUUUAUCAGUUGUAUAAAUAAAAAAGUAACAUUGGUAUGACAUUGUGAGUUUCACUGGUGUGCUUUACCUAGUGAUUACUGAACUCACUAUUUUUCAUUUAUCCAUUGCAGGAUUUGUAAUGAUGCAUAAUGAUCAAAAUGCGGAUUUACGGUUUUGUUAGCACAGUUUUCGCAUUUUGAUGAGCGCUAGAACUAUAUAUAAAAGUUGACAGUCACUUUAGCGAACACUGAAGAGGAUGAAGGCAGAAGCCUGCGCACUCACGAAGCAUUAAUUAAAUUAUUUGUCAUUCUCA